rnacentral:rRNA from 1 species
GACGAACGCUGGCGGCGUGCUUAACACAUGCAAGUCGAACGGAAAGGCCCUGCUUUUGUGGGGUGCUCGAGUGGCGAACGGGUGAGUAACACGUGAGUAACCUGCCCUUGACUUUGGGAUAACUUCAGGAAACUGGGGCUAAUACCGGAUAGGAGCUCCUGCUGCAUGGUGGGGGUUGGAAAGUUUCGGCGGUUGGGGAUGGACUCGCGGCUUAUCAGCUUGUUGGUGGGGUAGUUGCUUACCAAGGCUUUGACGGGUAGCCGGCCUGAGUGGGUGACCGGCCACAUUGGGACGGAGAUACGGCCCAGACUCCUACGGGAGGCAGCAGUGGGGAAUAUUGCACAAUGGGCGGAAGCCUGAUGCAGCAACGCAGCGUGCGGGAUGACGGCCUUCGGGUUGUAAACCGCUUUCGCCUGUGACGAAGCGUGAGUGACGGUAAUGGGUAAAGAAGCACCGGCUAACUACGUG